GGUUUCUUUAGUCGGCUCUUACACGCAGUGCAGAAGUCAAUGAUGAUGUCGGCGUGUGACGUCAAAACAGUGCGCACCCUGAAAUCGGGCGUCAGCUUCAACACUAAACAGGAGAACACGCAGGAUUCAUGACACAUCAUCUCGGCGUACAGCAAAUUUUUAUGAACACCGGUUUAAUCACCAAACUGCUCACCAGAUUCUUCAGACACUAUCUGCCACUCCCUCUCAUCGUGAAUAAACUCUUGUUACCACUGCCAGUUUUCAUCUGUUUCUCUGCUUAGGUCCCUUGUCACCCCAGAACCUUAACAAAUACAAAAUGUUGUUUACAGUCUGAAAAUGGGCUAUCUUUAAUGUGAAGUUGCUUGUGUUACUAUUCUAUAUAAAUGUAUAUAUGCAUGAAGAAAUUCAUGUCACCUUCUUAUCAUGGAAGCCCAACGUGUGCGUCAUGUAACUGACUGA